UACAGAGGGGGCAAGCGUUGUUCGGAAUUACUGGGCGUAAAGGGCGCGUAGGCGGCUUGUACAGUCAGACGUGAAAUUCCUGGGCUCAACCUGGGGGCUGCGUUUGAUACGUAUGGGCUUGAGUUCGGAAGAGGGUCGUGGAAUUCCCAGUGUAGAGGUGAAAUUCGUAGAUAUUGGGAAGAACACCGGUGGCGAAGGCGGCGACCUGGUCCGAUACUGACGCUGAGGCGCGAAAGCGUGGGGAGCAAACAGG
rnacentral:rRNA from 1 species